rnacentral:misc_RNA from 1 species
UACUUUCCAUUCAUCCCAGACCA